rnacentral:rRNA from 1 species
UGGGGAAUUUUUCGCAAUGGGCGCAAGCCUGACGAAGCAACGCCGCGUGGAGGAUGAAGGUCUUCGGAUUGUAAACUCCUGUCGACCGGGACGAAUGCACUCGACCUAAUACGUCGAGUUGUUGACGGUACCGGUGGAGGAAGCCACGGCUAACUCUGUGCCAGCAGCCGCGGUAAUACAGAGGUGGCAAGCGUUGUUCGGAAUUACUGGGCGUAAAGGGCGCGUAGGCGGCCUUGUAAGUCUCGUGUGAAAGCCCUCGGCUUAACUGAGGAUCUGCACGGGAUACUGCGAGGCUAGAGUUCGGGAGAGGAAAGCGGAAUUCCGGGUGUAGCGGUGAAAUGCGUAGAUAUCCGGAGGAACACCAGGGGCGAAGGCGGCUUUCUGGACCGACACUGACGCUGAGGCGCGAAAGCUAGGGGAGCAAACGGGAUUAGAUACCCAUGUAGUCCCUGAGCGGGCUGGCAAGGCGCAU